rnacentral:rRNA from 1 species
UAAUACAGAGGUGGCAAGCGUUGUUCGGAAUUACUGGGCGUAAAGGGCUCGUAGGCGGCCAACUAAGUCAGACGUGAAAUCCCCAGGCUCAACCUGGGAACUGCGUCUGAUACUGGAUGGCUUGAAUCCGGGAGAGGGAUGCAGAAUUCCAGGUGUAGCGGUGAAAUGCGUAGAUAUCUGGAGGAAUACCGGUGGCGAAGGCGGCAUCCUGGACCGGCAUUGACGCUGAGGAGCGAAAGCUAGGGGAGCAAACGGGAUUAGAUACCCCGGUAGUCCUAGCCCUAAACGAUGAAUGCUUGGUGUAACGGGUAUCGAUCCCUGUUGUGCCGAAGCUAACGCAUUAAGCAUUCCGCCUGGGGAGUACGGUCGCAAGGCUG